UUCCCUAGGUGAACCUGCGGAAGGAUCAUUAGUGAAAAUAGGACGUCCAACUUAACUUGGAGUCCCAACUCUCACUUUCUAACCCUGUGCAUUUGUUUGGGAUAGUAACUCUCGCAAGAGGGCGAACUCCUAUUCACUUAUAAACACAAAGUCUAUGAAAGUAUUAAAAUUUAUAACAAAAAAAAACUUUCAACAACGGAUCUCUUGGCUCUCGCAUCGAUGAAGAACGCAGCGAAAAGCGAUAAGUAAAGUGAAAUGCAGAAAUCAGUGAAACAUCGAAUCUUUGAACGCACCUUGCGCUCCAUGGUAUUCCCUGGAGCAUGCCUGUUUGAGUGUCAUGAAAACUUCAACCCUCCUCUUUCUUAAAGAUUGAAGAGGUGUUUGGUUUCUGAGCGCUGCUGGCCUUUACGGUCUAGCUCGUUCGUAAAGCAUUAGCAUCCCCAAACGAACUUCGGAUUGACUUGGCGUAAAAGACUAUUCGCUGAGGAAAUCUAAACUUCGGAUUAGAGCCCGGUUGGGUUAAAGGAAGCUUCUAAACAGAAAGUCUACAUUUUAAGAUUAGAUCUCAAAACAGGUAGGACUACCCCCUGAACUUAAGCAUAUCAAAAAGCGGAGGA
rnacentral:rRNA from 1 species